rfam:Ailuropoda melanoleuca scaffold803_59, whole genome shotgun sequence.
ACCCAGCUGGCUCGGCCGGUAGAGCAUGUGACUCUUGAUCUUGGGGUUGUGAGUUUGAGCUCCAUGUUGGGUA